GCGCGCGGCGGCAGGGAGAGGGAAACGCAGUGCCGGUGCUGGCGGCAGGGGAGGGGAAGGCGGCGGCGGCGCAGGCGGCAGGUUGAGGGGAAGGCGGCGGCAGCACAUCAGCCGCAGGUUAUCCCCCUCCCCUUGCCCUCUCCUUCCCUCUUCUCUGUAUUUUUCUCUCUCUUUUUUGGAUUUUUUUCAGAAAUUUAGAGUAAUUUCAAAUUUGAAUGUGGUAGGUGGGUGCCACGGACCCUGAAUGCUCCGUGCGCUAGCAUUGGUAAUGGCAGCGCACUGGUACUGGCAGCCCAUGGAUGACCACCGGCAUGACUGUUAUCACGAGCGAUGCAAGCACAACGAUUGCAACGCUCUGCAGCGCUGACAUGUUUUGGCGCAAAUGGCU
rnacentral:lncRNA from 1 species